UCAUCCUGGCCACACCAGAGUGUCCCAUCACCCAGUAUAGGGCUCUAACAAUCAGGGCUCUACCAAUCAGGGCUCUAAUGUCCCGGGCUCUAUUACCCAGGGCCUAAGUGGUUAAGGUCAGUGUUGGUUUUUGGGAGGAGAUUUUAAACUAUAUACAGGUACACAAGCCUUUUAUCGCGACGUUUCGACAGCUUUCUGUGUCUUCUUCAGGCAUGACUUGUGUAAAAUAAAUGUUUUCUUCUCUGAGCUCAAUUUAAUUUUUUAAUUUUCUUUCUAAACACCAUGUAUGUGGUGGAGCAAAAAAUCAACUGUCAUCCUCUUCUCACUCGGGAGCUGUGUGUGCAGCUUCUUAUACCCCGAGCAGGGCCUAGGCUCCUCCCCUCUGUUUAUUUUUGAAUUUUUAAAUUUUUCAGAGCCUUUUCUUUGAAUAUAUCAAGCACUUUUAAGUGCAUUUUUUGAAUUUAAGCACUCUUUCAUCUUCCCUUACACUCUUAUAAGUUUACUUUUUUUGUUUUAGUGUACACUUUUUUUGUGUUACUAUCUUCACAGACCCAUUUAUUUCUUUUUCACUUUCACACACUUAUUUGUGUUUUUAGCAGCCCUUUGUUUUAUUUUACAACACAUAUUUUUGUGUUAUCUAUCACUCACGGCACCCCCAUUGUCUUUUCAACCUUAACUGUGCUUUCAUUCAAAAAAAUACACCUUUUUGUGCUAUGAUACAUCCCUCUUUUUAGCUCACUACUGUACAUUUUUGUGUAUCACAUUUAAACCAACUAUAUACAAAUUCUAUUUCCAUGACUCUUAACCCAUAUGUAUCUUUUUUGAUUUUUUUCAGAUGGAGACAUCCAGUAUGGUUUUCCGUAAAGGGAGACCAGCGAGGCCCAGAGAGAGAGGCACGGGCUGAGUUAGAUGGAGACAUCCAGUAUGGUUUUCCGUAAAGGGAGACCAGCGAGGCCCAGAGAGAGAGGCACGGGCUGAGUUAGAUGGAGACAUCCAGUAUGGUUUUCCGUAAAGGGAGACCAGCGAGGCCCAGAGAGAGAGGCACGGGCUGAGUUAGGUAAGUAGAGAUCCCAGAACCAACGC
rnacentral:lncRNA from 1 species